rnacentral:tRNA from 1 species
GCACUAGUAGUUCAGUAUUCAGAACGUCG